UACCAUGUGUCUUGCUGUGGUCCUCUUUGAGUUGAUCCUAUUUGGGACUCUGUGUGCUUACUGGACCUGGAUGUCUGUUUCCUUUCCCAGGUAGGUUAUGUUUCCUGGCCUUGGAGAAGUGGCCUUUGGUAGGAGAUGUCCUAUGCAACCGCGGAGCUCUGCUGCCAGUGUCUAUGCCCCCAGAUUGCCUCCUGCCUCUUCGGGAGGUCCUCCAAGAUUUGCAGUGCACCGCUUGCAGGAUCUCAGUGCCCUGACCAGGGAUUGAACCCAUGUUCCCUACAGUGGAAGCACUGAGUCUUAACCACCGGACCGCCAAGGAAUUCCCCUCAAACAUUUUAAGCGUUCAGUUACACGAGGAGUUUGGAAUUCUGUCGUAAUAGUCUUCCUCAUGGUAAUUGAUGAUGAAUAUUAGGACUCUAUGUGUCAUAAUAGGAGAGUGCAAUAUUGUGAAAAGUUCAUAGAUCUGGAAUCAGAAAGGUCUGGCUUUGAAUCCGGAGUAUUUGACCUUGAACAACAUCUACAAAAUGGGGAUAAUAGUAACUUUGAAUGAUUCUGGUGAAGAAUAUACUAACUAAUGUAUGUAAUGUGUCUAAUACAG